CUUUGGCAUCAUGGCAGUGUCUGGGCAGCAGGGGAGAGCCCUGGCUCACCUUUGUGUGGCUCUUGACAUCAGGAGGAGCUCCCUAGACAGAUUACAUUCACUGUGAUUCAUGCUGCUAUUCUUCAUUUUCUUGUCCUGUACCCUUGGGACUGCUAGAAGAUUGCAAAGGGAUGAAUGAACACUGCUUGGACAAAAAGAAGUAAAUGAGGAGCUGGAACCACAGCCCCUGUCCUUAGGAAUUCACAGUCUGCUCCGUUGGGUAGGACAUGUCUCAAGGAUGAAGGAGCACAGCCUCCCUAAGAUCCUGCUUUAUGGUGAACUUGCCACUGGCUGCCGCAAGAGAGGAGCCCCAAAGAGAAGAUACAAGGACUCCCUGAAACAACAUCUUAGCCUUGGCCAUAUGGAUCAACAUAACUGGUCUACUCUGGCCUCCAAUUGGGAGG